rnacentral:rRNA from 1 species
UAAGCUACGUGCAGGAUCAUUAAUUUCGGUGGAUUUCCACUGUUAUGAGGGGGAUUUCGGUCCCUUCUCUCCUUCCUUGUCUUUUGAGUACCCAAGUUUCCUUGGCAGGCUUGCCUGCCAGCUGGACAACCUAUAACCCUUUUAAUUUUUAAAUCAGCGUCUGAAAAAUUUAAUAAUUACAACUUUCAACAACGGAUCUCUUGGUUCUGGCAUCGAUGAAGAACGCAGCGAAAUGCGAUAAGUAGUGUGAAUUGCAGAAUUCAGUGAAUCAUCGAAUCUUUGAACGCACAUUGCGCCCCUUGGUAUUCCAUGGGGCAUGCCUGUUCGAGCGUCAUUUGUACCCUCAAGCUCUGCUUGGUGUUGGGUGUUUGUCCUAUUCUUUGCAAUAGGACUCGCCUUAAAACAAUUGGCAGCCAGUGUUUUGGCAUUGAAGCGCAGCACAUUUUGCAAUUCAAGCCCUAGCACUUGCGUCCAUAAAGCGUAUUUUACACUUUUGACCUCGGAUCAGGUAGGGAUACCCGCUGAACUUAAGCAUAUCAAUAAGCGGAGGAAAAGAAACCAACAGGGAUUGCCCUAGUAACGGCGAGUGAAGCGGCAACAGCUCAAAUCUGAAAUCUGGCUCUUUUAGGUCCGAGUUGUAAUUUGCAG